rnacentral:tRNA from 1 species
GGCGAGAUGGCCGAGCGGUCUAAGGCGCCAGACUAAGGUGGUUAUACCUGUUAUCUGGUCCGAAAGGGCGUGGGUUCGAAUCCCACUCUCGUCA